CAGGUACAGAGGGAGUGCUACCGGGCGACCGGAUGCGGAUCUCGAAAGCCUGUCCCAGUUCGGAUUGGAGUCUGCAACCCGACUCCACGAAGUUGGAUUCGCUAGUAAUCGCGCAUCAGCCAUGGCGCGGUGAAUACGUUCCCGGGCCUUGUACACACCGCCCGUCAAGCCAUGGGAGCCGGGGGCGCCUGAAGUCCGGGACCGCGAGGACCGGCCUAGGGCGAAACUGGUAACUGGGGCUAAGUCGUAACAAGGUAUC
rnacentral:rRNA from 1 species